ACCACGUAUAAAAGCUGUGUCGCUUCAAGUUCUGCUGAACCCAAGAGAGAAAGUGAGAAGUUAGGUAGCUAAAGAUACUGUGCACUGACUAACAAGAGCUCUCUUCAAGAACACUGGAUAUUUCUAAGUGCUGUUGAACCAGAUCUCCAGAAGAUGUCAGCAAAUAUCUACAAGCCGAAAAUAGCAAUCAGCAUGAUAACCUGCCGUCGGAUCAGCACAAGGCACCAGCGGCUAACCUGUAGUUGUAACACAUCGGCGCAUUUCUGUGGAUCCAACAUAGCAUCUAGUCCCCUGUGGCACUGCCAGCCAGUCAGCUCAGCACAGCGUUCAGCAAAGGGCUUCAGAGCUCAUCAAACUCAAAACCACUCACAGAAACAAUGCUCCGUAUCAAUUUAACCCAAACUCUCGGGAGGGCAACAAGCUGUGGGCUCAAGCGGCUUUUCCAUUUGGGCGUCAGUGAGCAGGGCUGCUUCCAUAAAAGUUCAUCUGAGGGUAGGUUCAUGCCCAAGGCUACCCCAUGGAUGCAAAAAUUAAACCUCACACAGAGCUUUUUUCUUUGACUGAGCUAUAUGGCCAAAUUAAACUGACAGAAUUGUUUGUGAAUGUUUGUGUGUGUGUGUUUGAAUGUGCAUACGUAGGCACCCUUUUAGUUUGCAACUCUGAUGCUUUCUGCUGCUCUGAGGGAUGUGCUGUGUGUCUCGCUGCUUUGAACUUCCACACACAGUGCCAGCAGUUGCCAAGCAAUUACAGAAAGCCUGCUCUCCGUGAGUGCCUUUGGGAAAACCAGACAAUGUUUUCUUUUUUUGUUUUUGUUUGGUCAAAGAAUGACAUAAUAAAAUAUGAAUGAGAAAUAUGGUCGGUGCCUCGACGCUCCAUGUCUGCGAGGUCCAGGUGGUGUGGUAAAGACAAUCCGUCUCCUGAUUGUGGUACCCAGCUGGGUCGCUGAGGGCCAGAUGGUCUGCUCACAACAGGUAAUCACAGCCAGCAUGCUGAUACACUAACAUCCACACAAAUGGGUUACCAAAACUACCCAGAGCAUUUGGGAUGCUGUGACAGUACCCUCCUCUGCCGGUCUCUGGGGCUUUUUCUAUUGUGUCUGGCAAUGGUGCUGUGCAGUAGAAGUAGGGGG